rnacentral:rRNA from 1 species
CUACGGGGUGCUGCAGUGGGGAAUAUUGGACAAUGGGGGAAACCCUGAUCCAGCAUUGCCGCGUGUGUGAAGAAGGCCUGCGGGUUGUAAAGCACUUUCGGUUGGGAGGACUGCUUCUAGCACUAAUAUUGUUGGAAGUUGACGUUACCUUCAGAAGAAGCACCGGCUAACUCCGUGCCAGCAGCCGCGGUAAUAGCGGAGGGUGCAAGCGUUAAUCGGAAUUACUGGGCGUAAAGCGCGCGUAGGCGGCUAGAUCAGUCGGGUGUGAAAGCCCCGGGCUUAACCUGGGAACUGCAUCCGAUACUGUCUAGCUUGAGUACAGGAGAGGAGAGUGGAAUUCCACAUGUAGCGGUGAAAUGCGUAGAUAUGUGGAGGAACACCAAUGGCGAAGGCAGCUCUCUGGCCUGAUACUGACGCUGAGGUGCGAAAGCGUGGGGAGCAAACAGGAUUAGAUACCCGCGUAGUC